GUAAUACAAAUAUUGUGUCAUUUUCUUUGGUUUUAUCAAAAGCAAAUCUGAAGGAAAAAAAACCCUUCUCCUUCUCCUUCUACGUGAAACCCUAAUCUAAACAAAAGAAAUCUGAACAAAUCCCCUAACUUACAAAACCCUAAUUGAUUACAACUUCCCCUAAACAACAAAUCCCCAAAUCCACAAAUUUCUAGCCAAAUCCUAACUUAGCAUUUCCUAAUUUUUGUCUGAAUCCCUUACUCAUCAGUGUCGACAACAGCAGAAUCCUAACUUAAAAAAUCCUUCCGACCGCAAGGAUGUUUAUGGUGCAGUUCUUAUGGCUGCACUCAACGAAGAUAACUGAAAAUUUGAAGCACCUCUUUCCUGUGUUCAGAAGAGAACGCCUUCAGAACGCUUUCUUAUUGAAACAAAUUUCUAACUUAACAAAUCCCUAACUCCUUCAAGUUCAGCUAUUUAAACAGUUGUAACUGCAAAAGAAAACAAUGCUCUUUGGAUAUCCAUUUAUCGAGAAUAUAUUCUUGGAUUCCUAGUGAUUUAAAGGUUAUUGAGGCCACAUGGAAUAGAGUUGCGUCAUCUCACUAUAACCAAACUCUUGCUAAGUGGAGAAGUUCGUGGAAAAGAACAAAAGCAUACAUGAAGGUGUUAAAGUAAACAUUUGGAAUUAUUGGCUUAGAAAAUGGGAAUCAGAGGACUGGAAAAAGAAAUCUGAGCAAGCUUCAAAAAACAGAAAUUCAGAACAGGGUGCUCCCGGUACCGGGGUCGCUAAGCAUACAGGAGGAUCCAAAAGUACGAUAGAGCACGCGAAAACAAUGGUGAUGGAAAGUGGUGUGAAUGAAUGGGCAGUUUUUCGAACGUUACAUACGAGGAAAGAUGAGGAAUUUGUUGAUAGCAAAUCCCGUAUUAUUAAUGAUAAGCUAGAAGCCGCUGUUAAUCUUGUCCGUCAACCAUUAGAAGAUGAAACUAUACCCGUAGUUGACAUUAACACGAUAUAUUAUGAUGUUGUUGGUGAUGAGAAGAAAAGGCGUGCAUAGGGAAAGCUAGAACGUAUGCAACAAGAUUGUUUGCGGGGUUUUCAGAGCUUAAAUGGUGAUAAAUAGGUUUUGGAGGCUAUAUCACAUCACCGAAGACUCCACCGUAGUAGUUUUUUUAUCGUUGUAUUUUGUAAAAUUUGUACUUAGACUACUUUUGAUAUUAUUAAAAACUAGUAUGUAUAACUAUAUUUUGAUUUAAUGAAUAGCUACCAUUAAACAUA